GCCUAGUUAGCUUAGCUGGUAGUGCGUCUGCCUUGUAAGCGCUAGGCCGCGGGUUCGAUUCCCGCCCGGGGCG
rfam:Asian citrus Psyllid, Diaphorina citri - Florida Strain, whole genome shotgun sequence.